GAUGAACGCUGGCGGCGUGCCUAAUACAUGCAAGUCGAGCGAACAGAUGAGGAGCUUGCUCCUCUGACGUUAGCGGCGGACGGGUGAGUAACACGUGGAUAACCUACCUAUAAGACUGGGAUAACUUCGGGAAACCGGAGCUAAUACCGGAUAAUAUAUUGAACCGCAUGGUUCAAUAGUGAAAGACGGUUUUGCUGUCACUUAUAGAUGGAUCCGCGCCGCAUUAGCUAGUUGGUAAGGUAACGGCUUACCAAGGCAACGAUGCGUAGCCGACCUGAGAGGGUGAUCGGCCACACUGGAACUGAGACACGGUCCAGACUCCUACGGGAGGCAGCAGUAGGGAAUCUUCCGCAAUGGGCGAAAGCCUGACGGAGAAACGCCGCGUGAGUGAUGAAGGUCUUCGGAUCGUAAAACUCUGUUAUUAGGGAAGAACAAAUGUGUAAGUAACUAUGCACGUCUUGACGGUACCUAAUCAGAAAGCCACGGCUAACUACGUG
rnacentral:rRNA from 1 species